AAUUAUAGUGCAACAAUUCCUUUUAAUAAUUAUAAUAAUUAUUGGAUAUUUCGUUAUCAAACCAGUGACGUUGCUGUAACAAAAUUCUUUCCAACUUAUUUAAUUUCCCAAUUUUUGCGAAUAUUUCCCAAUAAUUAUACAAAAUUAUUUUGAGAAAGAUUCGAAAAAUGCGUAAAUUGAUACCAACACGAAUUAUAUAAAAACGGUAAAUUUCAAACCUAACAUCACUUGAGUUGUACCAAACGUGUAACAUCAAAGCCCUCAAAAUGAACUCCAAACAGUAUUUUGCACUGUUUUGAUUGUCUGUGUGGUUGGUGUGAUUUUGGCUGCUCCCUCACCAGCACUACAGAAGAGUAAGCAAGAAAGAUGCAUGCCGAUGGUGGGAAGUUAUUUGGCAGGUAUUACCAAUCCUAUUGGUAAAAUGAUUUUGAAUAUCCUGGGUAGACUUGGCUUGAAAUCUCAAUUUGGAGGACUCAUCGAAAGCCUCCUCAUCUGCGAAGAAGCUGAUGCGAAUGAAGGUGGUGACGAAUAAUACCACUGGGAAUAUAAUAUAGAUGUUGCAUUGUUAAUGUGUACUGCAGAUAAAUAAAAAAAAUUGAAUGAA